GGUGGAGUGGCCUAAUGGUAAGGCGUGUCUCUCCUACAGUGGAGUGUCUACAAGACAAGAUUGUGGGUUCGAGUCCCAUCUUCAUCG
rnacentral:tRNA from 1 species